rnacentral:snRNA from 1 species
GAUUGAGCCCAGCUAACAAUAAAAUUGGAAUGAUACAGGGAAGAUUGGCAUGACUCCUGCACAAGGAUGGCACACAUCCACGAAAUCAUCGGGGGGCUUCA